GGGUUUCAACACCUCCGUGCCGCCGCUAACGCAUUAAGUAUUCCGCCUGGGGAGUACGGUCGCAAGAUUAAAACUCAAAGGAAUUGACGGGGACCCGCACAAGUAGCGGAGCAUGUGGUUUAAUUCGAAGCAACGCGAAGAACCUUACCUACACUUGACAUCCCUUGCAUUACUCUUAAUCGAGGAAAUCCCUUCGGGGACAAGGUGACAGGUGGUGCAUGGUUGUCGUCAGCUCGUGUCGUGAGAUGUUGGGUUAAGUCCCGCAACGAGCGCAACCCUUGUCGUUAGUUACUACCAUUAAGUUGAGGACUCUAGCGAGACUGCCUGGGUUAACCAGGAGGAAGGUGGGGAUGACGUCAAAUCAUCAUGCCCCUUAUGUGUAGGGCUACACACGUGCUACAAUGGCUGGUACAGAGAGAUGCAAUACCGUGAGGUGGAGCCAAACUUUAAAACCAGUCUCAGUUCGGAUUGUAGGCUGAAACUCGCCUACAUGAAGCUGGAGUUACUAGUAAUCGCGAAUCAGAAUGUCGCGGUGAAUACGUUCCCGGGUCUUGUACACACCGCCCGUCACACCAUGAGAGUUGGCAAUACCCGAAGUCCGUGAGCUAACCGCAAG
rnacentral:rRNA from 1 species